GAUUUUCCAAAUAAUUGGUCUAUCUCUCUCUCUUUCUCUCACAAGUCCGAACUCUCUUUCUCUGUUUCUUCUCUUUCAGACACCGGCCGGUUCUCCGACGGCCGUGUCCUCACUGACUAUAUAGCUUCGUUUCUGGGCAUAAAAUCUCCGGUGGCGUACAGAGAGACAAAGUGGGUAAAGAAAUGGAAAGUAAAUAAGUAUGGAAUGAACUUUGCAUUUGGAGGGACAGGAGUGUUUGAUACAAUGGAAAAGGAACCAAACAUGUCAACCCAAAUCAAUUUCUUCGAAGAUAUAUUACUUGAACGUAAUUUUUAUUCCAAACAAGACCUUAGCUCUUCCGUGGCUUUAGUUUCUCUUGCUGGCAAUGACUAUGGUGCUUACCUUGCUAAAGGUGGCAAUAACAACAUGGAGGGUACCCCGAGCCAGCCAGACACGGAUGUCUCCAAGGGAGGCUACCACCCGAGGUCCGUCCUAGAGAUGUGGAUGUCUCCAAGUGAGAUCCUCGUGCCUUCUUCAGUCAGCUGUCCUCUAUGUUUAGGUUUUUUUCCUCGAGACCUAGAUGAGUUGUGAGGUGUUAGUCACUGCGUGUAUGAGCCACCAGAAGAUUUUCUGACAACCUUUUGGAAAAUCCUCGAGUAGUGGUGUUGAGUCGUACACUCGAAAAUCGGUAUUUCCCAAUACAUCGUCUAACAUGGGGAAAACGUGUAGCGGCACCCUAACACCGUCAGGGGCAUGUUUCCCACAAAGUUGGUAGACAACUUUCUGCAAUGGGCUCCGUGCAAUCCGCUUGGGUUGUAGUCUCUAUUUAGUGUACCCCCUUUUGUAUUAAUUCAAAUUAAUAACCCAACAAUGGGAGAAUUUGUAUUAAAUAUAUAUGAUUAACAUUAAUGACCCCAGCAUCUAUAAAUAGGGCAGGGGUAUUUCCUUGUAAGGGUUCAGAUUUUUAGAUAGAGAAACUUUAUAAGUCAGUGCAAUAUGUACACUGCCUGAGAACUACCAUUGAAGCUUGCUCAAACAAGUUUCAAGCUCACUAAA